rnacentral:lncRNA from 1 species
CUAUAGAUGAUCGCAGCAAUGCCCGAGGUUCUAAAAUAGCCACGUAGUCGCCUAGCCUCAACCAGUAUCCACUCAAGCAGGAUCUUGAUCAUCUUCUCCUUAUAAAUCUUUACUCUAAAAAUCAGAUCUGGAAGAUCUUCAAAAGAUCUUCUGAAGCUGGAGCAGCAGCUUCUUGACAAAUCUCUAUAGCCUUCUAAUCAGGAAGCCACCACG